GAAGAAGGCAGCAGAGUUGAAGAUCAGCCUUCCUGAUGUUCAGAACACAAGUUAUUUUAAUCUCUAUCCUGACAGUUGUGAAAAUAACUCCAAGCCUCACCCCACAGGCUUAUAGGAAAUUUGGCCUUCUCCUACACUCUGCAAUCAGACACCCAUCCUCUGCCUUGUCAGGAAGGUCCUGAAUUCCAGCAAAACAGCUGAACAGCUGAUGGCAAGCAGUUUGAAGACCUCCACAGAGGAACCAAAUCAGCAUGAGAAUACAGUUUCUUCAUCUCCCUCCCCCAUGACUUCACCCUGCACUCUUCCAUCAAUCAACAAUCUCCACACUCUUAAAAAUCCUAGCCCAGAACUCCUUGGGGAGACAGAUUUGAGGUUCCCUCUUAUCUCCUCAUUAGGCAGCCCUAUAAUUAAACUUCUUUCUCUGCUGCA
rnacentral:lncRNA from 1 species